AUUGAACGCUGGCGGCAUGCCUAACACAUGCAAGUCGAACGGGGCAGCAAUGCCUAGUGGCGGACGGGUGAGGAAUACGUAGGAAUCUGCCCUUAAGUGGGGGAUAACCAGGGGAACCCUGACUAAUACCGCAUGAUCUCUUCGGAGCAAAGAGGGGGACCGCAAGGCCUCUCGCUUCUGGAUGAGCCUACGUCUGAUUAGCUAGUUGGUAGGGUAAAGGCCUACCAAGGCGACGAUCAGUAACUGGUCUGAGAGGAUGAGCAGUCACACCGGAGGUGAGACACGGCCCGGACUCCUAGGAGCGGCAGCAGUGGGGAAAAUUGGACAAAGGGCGCAAGCCUGGUCCAGCAAUGCCACGUGUGUGAAGAAGGCCUUCGGGUUGUAAAGCACUUUAGCCUGUAAAGAAAAAACUUUGGUUAACACCCAAAGUCUUGACGGUACCAGGAGAAUAAGCACCGGCUAACUCUGUGCCAGCAGCCGCCGUAAUAC
rnacentral:rRNA from 1 species